rnacentral:rRNA from 1 species
AAUUCGCCCUUAGAGUUUGAUCCUGGCUCAGAUUGAACGCCGGCGGCAGGCCUAACACAUGCAAGUCGAGCGGUAGAGGGAAGCUUGCUUCUCUUGAGAGCGGCGGACGGGUGAGUAAUGCCUAGGAAUCUGCCUGGUAGUGGGGGAUAACGUUCGGAAACGGACGCUAAUACCGCAUACGUCCUACGGGAGAAAGCAGGGGACCUUCGGGCCUUGCGCUAUCAGAUGAACCUAGGUCAGGUUAGCUAGUUGGUGGGGUAAUGGCUCACCAAGGCGACGAUCCGUAACUGGUCUGAGAGGAUGAUCAGUCACACUGGAACUGAGACACGGUCCAGACUCCUACGGGAGGCAGCAGUGGGGAAUAUUGGACAAUGGGCGAAAGCCUGAUCCAGCCAUGCCGCGUGUGUGAAGAAGGUCUUCGGAUUGUGAAGCACUUUAAGUUGGGAGGAAGGGCAGUAAAUUAAUACUUUGCUGUUUGACGUACCGACAGAAU